rnacentral:rRNA from 1 species
UACAGAGGUCUCAAGCGUUGUUCGGAUUCAUUGGGCGUAAAGAGCUCGUAGGCGGCUUGUUGCGUCGACUGUGAAAACCCGCGGCUUAACUGCGGGCUUGCAGUUGAUACGGGCAGGCUAGAGUUCGGUAGGGGAGACUGGAAUUCCUGGUGUAGUGGUGGAAUGCGUAGAUAUCGGGAGGAACACCAGUGGCGAAGGCGGUUGCCUGGAGCUUUGCUGACGCUGAGGCGCGAAAGCGUGGGGAGCGAGCCGG